AAAUAAUUAUGUUAUAUACCCUUGUGUAAUUUUGUCACUUGUACUAACGUAAAUGUAAUAUAAUUACAGGUGUUACAAGGAUUCGGAUACUAUUGUACUUGGAUCAUGGACUGAAGCCAUCAUUUGGACGAGUAGGAUAAUGCUAGGCUCUCGUCAGGCCAUCUGAUCGCGACUGAAACGCAAACGUAGUGUGAAACGAUUCAUCAGUUGUCACGUGAAGCGGUGACCACAACGUAUUAUCAGCGACGAUCGGAUUCCACGAAUGGUCAGGGAAAUCGCUGCGGUCUAGUUUCCGUUGCGAGCGGAUUUAAACGACGGCCUGUUCGACACGCCGGCCGUAAACCAGCUCGGGAUUUGGAAUUUCCGCGCUUCAAAUUUCCGCCUUCGUGGAAAGAUCUGCCAAGUGACCGCUGUAUAAUUAGACUAACCAUUAACACAGCUGUUAGGCCGUAAGAAGUUUUACGGCCUAACUCUAAAUAAAAACGGCUUUGAACAAUUUCGCUCUGGCGUGCCGCAUUUUCUUUAUAAUCAGUGCAAGAAAGAUAUCAUCUUAUUGUUGUCAAGUUGAGGAAAUACAUUUUUCACACAAGUGUUACUAGUAUAUUUUUUAUACUAUAUAUCAUGUUAUAUAUAUAUAUCAAAUAUAAAGUAUUAGGUCCAACAUAUUUUAAUUAAAUGUAAAAUGUGUUGAAAUAUAAUCUAAUCUGAUAAAGCUUUUGUGUAAUAAAAAUAUUUUUAAUAUGAGACUGAAGAAGAUAUCACGCGUUUAUUAAAAGAUAUUAAUAUUUUUUAAAAAUAAGAAUGCUUUUUGCGUGAGGACUUUUUCAAUUAAAAUAGAUAUUUUAUUCAAAGAUGUCGAAAAUUGUCGAAAAAUAAUUUAACUGUCAGAAAAUACAUUCUAUUAGGUUGAAAGAAUUCGAGUGUUAUAUUUGAAAUAAAUUUACUUAUAAACUACGUUUGCUGUUUCAAAAACGUUUUUGCAAAAAAAUGCGUUAAUGUUUAAAAUACUCCCUUAAAAAAAAUAAAAGAGAUGGCCACAUAAUGCACGGCCUCUAAACGGAGUAAAACGAUACGAUCGUCUUACGCAUCUCUCGCACCUAUUCAUUUUCGAAUACAACCUGCUUAAUCGCGUGCCCUCCCACUGCAUCUUGCAAAUCCGCCGUGGUUAAUCUUUGCAGUGCAUCGUUAUUUGGUCCGGAAAAAAUAUCUCGUGCAGAAUCGUAAUACGCGGUACGCUUUCGCGGCAAAAGUGUAAAAAUUGCCGUUCACUCGGUAUCAAUGUCAUUAGUUACAAUGUUAUACGUUCACGUAGGCAAAUUAGAUGAAGUCAUUGCAUUCGACGCUUGAAUGCAUCUAAUUUUCUUCGAUAUAGAAUCUCCUCC